GACGAACGCUGGCGGCGUGCCUAAUACAUGCAAGUAGAACGCUGAAGGAGGAGCUUACUUCUCUGGAUGAGUUGCGAACGGGUGAGUAACGCGUAGGUAACCUGCCUGGUAGCGGGGGAUAACUAUUGGAAACGAUAGCUAAUACCGCAUAAGAGUAGAUGUUGCAUGACAUUUACUUAAAAGGUGCAAUUGCACCACUACCAGAUGGACCUGCGUUGUAUUAGCUAGUUGGUGGGGUAACGGCUUAACAAGGCGACGAUACAUAGCCGACCUGAGAGGGUGAUCGGCCUCACUGGGACUGAGACACGGCCCAGACUCCUACGGGAGGCAGCAGUAGGGAAUCUUCGGCAAUGGACGGAAGUCUGACCGAGCAACGCCGCGUGAGUGAAGAAGGUUUUCGGAUCGUAAAGCUCUGUUGUAAGAGAAGAACGAGUGUGAGAGUGGAAAGUUCACACUGUGACGGUAUCUUACCAGAAAGGGACGGCUAACUACGUGCCAGCCGCCGCAGUAA
rnacentral:rRNA from 1 species